UACCAGCACCCCGAGUGGUCGGGACGAUUAUUGGGCCUAAAGCAUCCGUAGCCGGUUCUACAAGUCUUCCGUUAAAUCCACCUGCUUAACAGAUGGGCUGCGGAGGAUACUAUAGAGCUAGGAGGCGGGAGAGGCAAGCGGUACUUAGUGGGUAGGGGUAAAAUCCGUUGAUCCAUUGAAGACCACCAGUGGCGAAGGCGGACUGCCAGAACGCACUCGAGCGGUGAGGG
rnacentral:rRNA from 1 species